UCUCGCGAGACACAGCAGCGGUAGGGGGGUGACGGAAGGAGGCUCGCGUGCUAGAGCUGGGCACCGCCCGAAGCGCAGGGCUGGCUGGGAGAUGUAGUCGGCCCAGAGGCUCCGCUCUUGUCCCACGGCAGAGUGUCUUUACUCUCUGCCACACGAGCUACCUCUGGAGCUGCAUUGCGGCUGCCGUGUCGGGCCAGUUCUUUGUUUUAUAGAUCACCCAGCGAGCUGAAGCGAUUUGUCAGGUACUUUCAGCAAGUUAGCAGUAGAGCCUGGACCUCCUGAAUUCCUGGGUAGCCCACAUUUAAUAGAGGUGCGUCGCUUUAAGCGAGGGUGGUGUAUCGCUAGGUUCCCAAGCACCUAUGCCAACGGUUCGCAAACUUUCUAGGUUAAGCACCCCAUUGAAAAUCUCACCCAGAAUAGAAAAUAGUAACUGCUACAUUAUACUGUGGUUAAACGUUUGGCUGCUAACGAAAAGGUCAGCAGUUCGAAUCCACGAGCUGCUUCUUGGAAACCCUAUGGGGCAGUUCUGCUCUGUCUUAUAGGUUUGCUAUGAGUCGGAAUAGACUCGACGGCAAGGGGGUUACAUUAUACUGAGUGCUACUUUAUGCAUUGAUAAUCUCUUAAUUCUAACGAUGCCCCAUUUCUGAGAUUGAGGCUCAGAGGCUAACUAAGGUGACAGAGUCCAAAACCAAGACUAAUACCCAAGCAACCUAAACCACACUACCUCUCCCAAGGAAGGGCAUACGCUCUCCCAAAAUUUUGCCACCUAAAGUCCAUCCAAGGAGCCCAGGUUAGGAAGCCCAGAUAAAGCUUUCAUUCAGUUCCUCCCCUUCUUCCAUCCAGUUUAGCUCUUCCCUGCCCUACUGAGUUGAUCAUGCUGUGUCUUGUGUGAUUAAUUUGAAGUUCUAUUUUUCUUACAGCAAAGACCAGGGAUUGAAAACUCGAAAGCUUAAAAGGGCCAGAAAGGCUGGCUGUUGGAAUCCCUGGAUGGUGCAAAUGAUUACUGUGCUUAAAUGCUAUGCUAACUAGAAGGUUGGAAGUUUGAAUCUGCUCAGAGGCACCUUAGAAGAAAGCCCUGGCAAUCUACUUCUGAAAAAUUAGCCAUUGAAAGCCUGUGGAGGGACAUCCCAGGUAACUGGUCGGAUACCGUUUUUAGUCCUUCCAUUUUACCUCCAAGUUCGUUGCAUAGUGCCUGGGUCUUAAAAGUUUGCAAGCAGCCAUCCAAGGCGCAACAAUUGAUCUCUAUUCACCUGGAGCAGCAGAGGAAGGAGAGUCAGGACUAGGAGGAGGAAAGGGAAUACAUACCUAAUUGCCUCUAUGAACAAAUGUCUCCUUUGCCAUGAGACCAGAAGAACUGGAUGGUGCCCGGCUACCAUUACUGAAUAUUUUGAUUAAAGAUAUUAUAAAAGAAUCCUGAUCCAGAGAGGGUAAAAUGUGGAAUGGAAUUUAAAAGACUCAUGGACUCCAGACUUUCUGAAGCUGUGGAGGUAAUCAUUAACUCUAAACCACAAAUAUCCCCUGAAGUCUUCUUUAAACCAAACAAUAAAUUAGCUUAAUUAGUAAAUAAUGUUUGCCCUUCAGUAAUGCCUGAGGUCUUAAAAGCUUGCAAGCAGCUAUCCAAGGUAAAACAGUUGGUCUCUAUUUGCCUGAAGCAACAGAGGAAGAGGAGAGUCAGGAAUACGUGGAGGAAAUGAAUGCGUGACUAAUUGCCUCCAUGAACAACUGCCUCUUCUGCCAUGAGACCGGAAGAACUAGAUGGUGUAUAGCUACUAUCACCAAACAUUUUGGUCAAAGAUUUUGUAGCAGACUCUUGAUCAAAAGGGGAGAAAUGCAGAGCAGAACUUAAAAUUCUCAUGGAAUCCAGCCUUUCUGGAGCCAUGGAGGCUGGAUGAACCACCAAAACUAUUGCCCUUUAAACCCUAAACCAAAAAUAUCCAAACAGUAGUUUAGCUGAGCUACUAAGGUCUCCCUUGAGCAUUAUGUUCUUUUAAGAACUAUCUAUAUGGGAUCAAGUCGACUACAACAACUUGAAAGAUUAGAUAGAAACCCUAGGGGACGGUGAGUUUAUGUUAAUGAGGGAGGAACAACUCAGAAAAAGAGAGUGAGAAUGAUUGCACAGCUGAAAGAAUGUAAGCAAUGUCCAUAAGUUGUACAUAUAGAAAGUUGUUAAAUUGGGGUGUGUUUUGCUGUGUAUAGUUUUAACAAUAGUAAAAAAUGAAAGAAAAGCCUAUGAAGCACAGUUCUACUCUGAUACGCAUGGGGUUGCCAUGAAUCAGAGUUGACAACUUUUUUUUUAAUUAUGUAUUUUUUUUUAAUGAAGGAAUGUGGAGGAAUUGGAACGCUUGUACAUUGCUGGAGGGAAUGUUAAAUGGUGUAGCCACUGUGGAAAACAGUUCGGUGGUUCUUCAAAAAGUUAAACAUAGAAUUACGAUAAACCAAGAAAAAAAAAAAAAAAAGAUCCAGCAAACCCACUCUGA